UAGAUGGUUACUUCUGAAGCCACCUGAAGAGCUGGCGUUCUUAUCGCUUGCCUGUGAAAGCCUGAGACAGACAGACAGAUAAGGAGCCUAGACUUCUCCAGCUAAUACACAGAUUCCAAGUGCAUUUGUGAAAGCAGAAAAACCUCUGAAGAUUCUUCUAAGGACUCCUAACACAGCAAAGAAAUUUGCUCUUUUGCCACCUGAAGAAGGAGGAACAGAGAUGGUGAGAGUGCCUACGUGAUGAGACAUCUGGAAGUCCUUAUCAAGAAUGAAACACUUGAGCAACCCAUUUCCUUAGCACUUACCCAAAGGCCAGAGAUGCUGUCUGCAAUACUCUGCAGGAAGUCCCAAAGCUAA
rnacentral:lncRNA from 1 species